rnacentral:sRNA from 1 species
AAACACAAAAAUUCAUACCGGUAUUAGAAAAAACCUGCAUCAUUCUAAUACAGCUAAGAAACUACUUGCCAUUCAGAAUUACAUAGCGCUGAUUUUAAACCAAAUAUUGUCCAUAAAAUCAACUCCCAUCAGUACCUCCGUACUUUGAUAUUAUUUGUGUUUCUCGCAUUAUCACCGGUGUCAGAUCGCUUUGACCAGUGUAAACCAGCAUUGAGAGAAUUGUCUGCUUUACACUGUGUAUUAAAAUACCGCUGUUAAACGUAAUUAAACAUCGUCUGCUGUAAAGAAAUGAAUUGUUUGAUUUGUUUGUUUUAUUAAAAUCUAUCCUAUUUUCAUUG